rnacentral:rRNA from 1 species
CCCUUAGAUGUUCUGGGCUGCACCCGUGCUACACUGGCAGGUUCAGCGAGCUUCAUGCCCUGAUCUGAAAGGAAUGGGAAAUCUUUUCAAAACCUGCCGUGCUUGGGAUAGAUGUUUGCAAUUAUUCAUCUUCAACGAGGAUUGCCUUGUAAGCGCACGUCAUCAGCGUGCAUUGAAUACGACCCUGUAUUCUGUACACACCGCCCGUCGCUCCUACCGAUUGAAGUUUUCGGUGAGUUGACAGGAGGAUUUUUUUGAAACUGGUUCGCCAGUGGAUUUUAGAUCCAAAUGCCAACGAAUCGAUGGCUUUAGAGGAAGGAGAAGUCGUAACA